rnacentral:rRNA from 1 species
GGCGAGGCGCGCCCCCGGGAGCCCCCCAACACUGCAUCUGUGCGUCGGAGUCAUAAGUAAAUUGAACAAAACUUUCAACAACGGAUCUCUUGGUUCUGGCAUCGAUGAAGAACGCAGCGAAAUGCGAUAAGUAAUGUGAAUUGCAGAAUUCAGUGAAUCAUCGAAUCUUUGAACGCACAUUGCGCCCUUUGGUAUUCCGAAGGGCAUGCCUGUUCGAGCGUCAUUUCACCACUCAAGCCUCGCUUGGUAUUGGGCGCCGCGGUCCCCGCGCGCCUCAAAGUCUCCCGGCUGAGCCGUCCGUCUCCGAGCGUUGUGAUCCAUGAUCGCUCCGGGGUGCGGGCGGCCGCGGCCGUUAAAUCUUCACCAGG